rnacentral:pre_miRNA from 1 species
CAACUACUCCCUCUGUCCCAAAUUUCUUGUCUUAGAUUUGUCUAGAUACAGAUGUAUCCAAUACUAAAAUGUGACUUGAUACAUCCGUAUCUAGACAAAUCUAAGACAAGAAUUUUGGAUGGAGGGAGUACUUU